CCUACGGGAGGCAGCAGUAAGGAAUAUUGGACAAUGCUCGCAAGAGUGAUCCAGCCAUGCCGCGUGCAGGAAGAAUGCCCUAUGGGUAGUAAACUGCUUUUGAACUAGAGAAAAUCCUACUACGAGUAGUAGGCUGAUAGUAUAGUUAGAAUAAGCAUCGGCUAACUUCGUGCCAGCAGCCGCGGUAAGGCGAAGGAUGCAAGCGUUAUCCGGAUUCAUUGGGUUUAAAGGGAGCGUAGGUGGACAUAUAAGUCAGUGGUGAAAUCUCCGAGCUUAACUCGGAAAUUGCCAUUGAUACUGUUUGUCUUGAGUACAGUUGCUGUGGGCGGAAUAUGACAUGUAGUGGUGAAAUACAUAGAGAUGUCAUAGAACACCGAUUGCGAAGGCAGCUCACAAAGCUGUAACUGACACUGAGGCUCGAAAGUGCGGGGAUCAAACAGGAUUAGAUACCCUGGUAGUCCGCNCUGUAACGAUGAUACUCGUCUGCUAGAAGACGUAACUUUAGUUGUGUUAGACGAAGACGAGUAAGUAAAGUACCGUACCCGUCGGGUAGGUACGGCCCGGCCGACCGGGUACGGUAAACGUUAAAGUUAGUUAAGUUAGGUUACGGGACGGUUGGAGGACGUUCGCCGACGGGACGACGACGACGGGGAGGGUUAGGG
rnacentral:rRNA from 1 species